rnacentral:rRNA from 1 species
UACGUAAGGUCCGAGCGUUGUCCGGAAUCAUUGGGCGUAAAGGGUACGUAGGCGGAUAAGCAAGUUAGAAGUCAAAGGCUAUAGCUCAACUAUAGUAAGCUUCUAAAACUGGGGACCUCGAGAGAUGGAAGGGAAAGUGGAAUUCCUAGUGUAGCGGUGGAAUGCGCAGAUAUUAGGAAGAAUACCGGUGGCGAAGGCGACUUUCUGGCCAUUUUCUGACGCUGAGGUACGAAAGCGUGGGUAGCAAACAGG